CCUACGGGAGGCAGCAGUGGGGAAUAUUGCGCAAUGGGCGAAAGCCUGACGCAGCGACGCCGCGUGAGGGAUGAAGGUCUUCGGAUCGUAAACCUCUGUCAGCAGGGAAGAACGGUCACUGUGCUACUCAGCAGUGCAUUGACGGUACCUGCAAAGGCAGCACCGGCUAACUCCGUGCCAGCAGCCGCGGUAAUGCGGAGGGUGCGAGCGUUAAUCGGACUUACUGGGCGUAAAGCGCUCGUAGGCGGUAUGGUAAGUCAAGGGUGAAAUCCCAGCGCUGAACGUGGGAACUGCCUUUGAAACUGGCAAACUGGAGUGUGUGAGAGGAGAGUGGAAUUCCAGGUGUAGGAGUGAA
rnacentral:rRNA from 1 species